rnacentral:lncRNA from 1 species
CAAGAACAAAAACCUUUCUCUUCAAAUUGACAAAAAUGGAAGAAAUGACUUAAAUUCCAACUCAAGGAGCAAAUCACACUUGGGCUCCUUGUCUUCCUAAGCCGUGUUGUCGAUUCAGUGGGAUUCUUAGUCCACAGACACUCUCUGAGCAGUCAUCAUAUUCCUAGCAGAUUGCUUUGGCCUCUUCUACACCAAUCCUGCUGGACACCUGUGAGGAAGCCCUAGAUGAUGUUCCUCUGAUCAGAUCACACCACGGCUGGGUUGUAGAAGGAUCUGCAGGAGCCAAGACCAUCCUGUACCAGCCAGUCCUCUGCAGUCCUGCAGUCAGUGCUAUUUGAC